rnacentral:rRNA from 1 species
AGUGGCGAACGGGUGAGUAACACGUAGGUAACCUGCCCUUAAGACGAGGAUAACCGUUGGAAACGAUGGCUAAGACUGGAUAGGAACAUUGAAGGCAUCUUUGAUGUUUUAAAAGACCUAGCAAUAGGUAUGCUUAAGGAGGGACCUGCGGCGCAUUAGUUAGUUGGUGAGGUAGUGGCUUACCAAGACGAUGAUGCGUAGCCGGACUGAGAGGUUGAACGGCCACAUUGGGACUGAGAGACGGCCCAAACUCCUACGGGAGGCAGCAGUAGGGAAUUUUCGGCAAUGGGGGAAACCCUGACCGAGCAACGCCGCGUGAAUGACGAAGUACUUCGGUAUGUAAAGUUCUUUUAUUAGGGAAGAAUGGUACGUGGAAAAACGUACGUGACGGUACCUAAUGAAUAAGCCCCGGCUAACUAUGUGCCAGCAGCCGCGGUAAUACAUAGGGGGCAAGCGUUAUCCGGAAUUAUUGGGCGUAAAGGGUGCGUAGGUGGCCAUUUAAGUCUUUGGUGUAAGUGCAGUGCUCAACGCUGUGAUGCUAAAGAAACUGGGUGGCUUGAGUGUGGUAGAGGCAAGUGGAAUUCCAUGUGUAGCGGUAAAAUGCGUAAAUAUAUGGAGGAACACCAGUGGCGAAGGCGGCUUGCUGGGCCAUAACUGACACUGAGGCACGAAAGCGUGGGGAGCAAACAGGAUUAGAUACCCUGGUAGUCCACGCCGUAAACGAUGAGUACUAAGUGUAGGAGAAAUUCUGUGCUGUAGUUAACGCAAUAAGUACUCCGCCUGAGUAGUACGUACGCAAGUAUGAAACUCAAAGGAAUUGACGGGACCCCGCACAAGCGGUGGAUCAUGUUGUUUAAUUCGAUGAUACGCGAAGAACCUU